UGCUGUAGAAAAAAGAACACAUACAUGUUAGCUAGCUUUUUUUAGUGAAAUACAUUCUUCUACUUUCUAAAACUAAGGGAAAGGAGUGCAAGGAGCGCAGAGAGCGAGAGAGAAAGCUGAAAGAGGGCAGUCAGACAACUGCUGACGAGGUUCUUUCAGAGUGCCAAACUGUAAAUGUGUUGCAGUAAGAUUAAAGCAUCGCUGUUGAAACUGACCAUCGAUGAAAGGCUAGAGGAUGGCUAACACAAACUAACAGACAUGGUGGUUGGUGAAGCGCAGCGCCCACUACUUUUCCUCUUUCUUUAAGUGGAUCUUGACCACUCCAACAUGCCAGACGCGCUGACAUAUCGCUGCCGCUCAGGAAUGACAGAUGGCAAGAUGGCGGCGGCUCUAUACCAGGCCUCUUUACUGAAAGAGUCACUGUAGACCUGCUACAAGUGGUGACGGAGAUGGCAGCUGGAUGCUUCUCCUUGCUCUAUCUAUAUCCAUGCUGACAGGAGGGACUAAUAAGGACCUGCUGAAUACAGCUGGUGAAAGGGGUCUAAGUACAAACACAUUUAAUCUUAAAGGAGACAGUAAACUUACCACAUUGUGGAGCAGUCAAAGUUCACUAACAGCCAUUUAUGUGGGUUAAAGUUGAAGGAGUCUGCAAACUAAAAAAAUAAACAUUUCAAUAAAUGACUUAAAUCAGCUGCUUAUGUUAGUUAUAUGUUUCAUUGUCAUAUUGUCCAAACACCAUGCACUUUAUUAGAAAUCCAUACUUUGUACCUCCACUAUAAGGAAGGUUCCUUAUGAGCUGCACCUUACUUAUAGUUCCACUAUACAGUGAUGUUAAAAGGUCUGUGAACCCUUUAGCAUUUUAUGAAUUUCUGCAGAGGUUUAAGUGAAAUAUGAUCAUAAAAAUUAAACCGAAUACACAAAUCCAGUAUUAAAAGGCUUUGCUGGACAGAGUAUGUGAACCUCUAGAAGUAUCAGUUUGGUUUCGUGGAUAUCAAGAGUCAAGAGGUUCAUUCAGUUGGAUACAAAACCAGCCCUACCUUUAAAACAUCAACCUGAGUAUUCAUUAUCAAAGUCUGGUCUUCACCGUAUAUGUUUGUGAGAGCACGUCAUGGCUUGGUGAAAAGACAUUUCUGAGUAUCUCAGAAAAACAGUUGUUAAUGCUCAACAGACUAAAAGAGGCUACAAAACAAGUUCUGAAUAGUUUAGAUUUCUCCAGUCCACAGGCAGAUAAAUGGAGAAAAUUCUACACCUCUGCUACCCUCCCCAGAAUUAGUCAUUCAACAAAAAUCACUCCAAGACCAAUGCAUAUAAUACUCUGGGAGAUCACAAAGAACCAUAGGGAUCUGCAGACCUCUCUUACAUUGUCAGUCAGUGUUUAUGAGUCCACCAACAGUGAACAAGAACAUUGUGUAUGGAAUUGUAACAGGAGGAGGGCAUUACUCUCCAAAAACAUUUCUGUGAGUUGAAAGUUUCCUAAAUAUCACCCAUGUGAGCCAGAAGACUACUGAAAUAAAGUUAUGCAGACUGAUGAAAAAUAGAACUUCAUGGCAUAAAUUAGAAACCUUCUGUUUGGCAAAAACUAAAAACAUCGUUCCAGCAUCAGAACCUCAUCCCUUCAUACCAGGCAUGAAGUAUGGUGGUGGUAGUACCAUAGUUUGAGUGUGUUUUGCUGCCAUUGGACCAGGCAAACUUUUGUACUAUGAAUUCUGGAUUGUAUCAGCAAGUUGUACAAGAGACCGUCUGCGAGCAGCAGCGCAACAGGAGGGAGGUCUUGCAGCAAGACAAUGACCCUUCAAAUGACACACAUUUAAGGCUACAAAAGAAUGGUUAAAGCAGAAGUUUCACGUUCUAGAAUGUCCAGAUCUUAAGCAUGAAGUUUUUGCAAGCAAGCCUGCAAACAUCACUGAGUUAAAUCAUUCUGUAAGAAGGAAUGGGACAAAAUUCCUCCAAGUCAAUAUGUGGGACUGCUCAAGAGUCAUUGCUGCUCAGAGAGGUUAUACUAGUUACUGAAAGCAGAGGUUCACACAAUUGUCCAGUGGUGACAUUUAGUAUUGGAUCACUUUGUUAAAUAAACAAAUGAACAAGUAUAUUCUUUAUGUUGUUUGUUUUAUUGGGUGCUUUAUGAAUUUGGUAAAGACCUGAUUACAUUUUAGGUCAGAUUUAUACAAAAAUUGUUUCUAGCACCACUCUACAGGUGUGCAGUUACAGACUGUAGCCCAUCUGUUGAUGUACAACUUGUCA